CUUUGAUUUGAAUUUUUGAUGUACAUUCGAAUUUCAUUAAAUUGGAAUUUAAAUUGAAAUGGUAUUAUUUAUCUGCAAGCCUUUUUAAGGCUAGGUACAUGCCAUAUAUUUGCAUUGUAAGAAAUAGAAUAUUUACAUUGUGCAUAACUUGGAGAAAAAAGUAUAAAUAAAGUAUAAUCAUGUGACAAAAGAGGUUUAAUUUUCUGGUAUUUUAGGGUAUAUUGAUAGGUUGUUCGGUAAAUUUUUUAAUUGUGUAUCUAGGACAGCAUAAUAAUGUGUCUUUGAGAGCAAAACUAAAUUUUUCCGAUCCCUCAUUCUUUAAUAGUAACCUUAGGGGUUCCGGAGAGCGUUAAAGAGGUUUAGGGCAAUACUUUUCAUGAGGUAUUUAUCUUUUUUCGUUACAUGACUGGUUUUCCUGUGAAAGUUGUGCCUUGUAUCAUGCUGGUAGAUUGGAAACAUGCCCUCUUGACUUAAAUGUCCCUUUUUCAAAGCUGUUGUUAUUAAUUCGUACAUAUGUGCAUUCAGGACUGUCAACACUCUAAACCUUUGUCACAGUCCGUAUAAAACUCAACCAACUCUUAAAAUGUGACAUGAUACCAAAACCCGUGUCACAGAACCUUAAAACGUGAACGACUCUCUACAGGGAUGAUUCCAUGGCUUCCCAUCAAUGAUUCGUAAGCUCUUUUUUUUAAUAAUAAUAUGUUUUCGGCAGUUGGGCAAUUACCCCAAAGUGUUAUGCUGUAAAGAAUGAUAGAUUGGAAGUUUGAGUGAUAAUAGGUCAUGAGUGUUUUCUUAUCCAUAAUUUUCGCCAGGUUUCUUAGGAUAAAUAUUUGUUUACUCAGUCUCUUUCCAAUAAUAACUAUAUGGGUUGUCCAGGUGAGCCUAUCGUCAAUAUUCAGGCCCAGGUAUCGACUACUGUUUACGAUUUGAAUAGAGAUGUCAUUAAAUCUAAAGUUAUCAAAUUAUAACAAGUGUGGAUUGAAAUUGAUAAUGAGGGUUUUUUGGAAAUUAAUGUUAAUCUUAUUUGCCCUGCACCAUUCUAUGAAAAGUUUGAAAACACAAAAUAGUUUUUCUAGAAUGUUUCUCCCUUUGAUUAUUAUGUUUGUAUCAUCUGCGAAUAUUACUAUUGAUAGGAACACAGCAAAAUUUCUUAGGGCAUCCGGUAAAUCAUUAAUAAAUAUCAAGAAUAAUAAUGAUCCAAGGAUUGCUUCUUGCGGAAUUCCACAUUCGGAUUGUUUCUCACUCGACACAUAAUUAUGUUGCUUUUAUUUUAUUUGAGUUACGUGCUUUCUUGCUGUUAAGUACGAUCUCAUCAAUUUCAGACUUUUUUUUUACCCAGUCCAUAGUAUUUAAGUUUAUGUAAAAGGAUUUCAUGGUCUGUCAGGUCAAAUGCUUUUUGAAAAUCAAUUUGUAAUGAUAUUACAGAUUCCUGGUCGGCUGUUGAGUAAACUUGGUCGAUAAAAGUUUGCAUUGCAUCUGUUGUGUUAAACUUGUACUCAGGCAAAUGGUGUAUGGAAAAUCACAAAUAAGCAAUUUCAAAAGCAUGCACUGGGUAAUGAACUCAUGUCAGUCAUUUACUUUAAGAUCGGUUAACUUACGGCUUUUCCAGUCAAGAUAAUCAACAGGCACAUGUUUUUCAGUCAUUAAUUUGUAAACACCACAAUCCGGAGUGCUAUUGAAAUCACCGCACAAUAUCACAGAAGUUGUCAAGUGUGGGUCCUAAGAGAAAACAAUUAAGAAUUAAAAGGAGAAAAACAGUAAAAUCAACAAAUUUUCUAAUUAAUAGAAGAAUUUGCAUGUAUAAGUAGGUUGUAUUUGGAAGGGAGACUGAAUAAAUGAAUGAAUAAUCUUGCAAUGGAAUUUGUAGAAAUUUUGAUACCCAUCAAUACCUAAAAAUAAAACCAUCCCAGUACUACUGAAUACAUUUUCGCAUGAGGAGGCAAGUCUGUCGCAAUGUUUCAAAAUUACCGCAGACAGAUUAUUUUGAACAGAUGUGUAGUUGAGCAGAUUACCACGAGGAAAAAUAGAGAACUUCUUUGUUAAAAUCAAGAAAAUUCAGUGAAAAGUAUGAGGAUAUUUUCUUAGUCGUUAGGCUUGGUAAACUGAAUAAAAAUGAAGUGUUCUUGACCAAGUUCCAUUGAAACUGCGCCCAAAUGCAAAAAAUGAAUUCAGUUGAUCUAUACAUGAAUUACUGCACAACUAUAUACUUCUGUGUCUGACUCAUUUGUAUUUAGUUUAGUUAAUAAAACAUAAAAAAACCUGGGAUGCUGACUGGAUCAAAAAAUAUGAGUAAUUAAUAGAUGAAAA